rnacentral:rRNA from 1 species
AGCAGCCGCGGUAAUUCCAGCUCCAAUAGCGUAUAUUAAAGUUGUUGCAGUUAAAAAGCUCGUAGUUGAACUUCAGGCCUGUCCAGACGGUCCGCCUUAAUUGGUGUGUACUGUCCUUGGGUGGGUCCUACCUUCUGGCGAAGCGGCAUGGCCUUAAUUGGUUGUGUCGGGGAACCAGGACUUUUACUGUGAAAAAAUUAGAGUGUUCAAAGCAGGCAAAUAUGCUCGAAUACAUUAGCAUGGAAUAAUGGAAUAGGACGAUGGUUCUAUUUUGUUGGUUCUAGGACCGUUGUAAUGAUUAAUAGGGAUAGUUGGGGGCAUUAGUAUUCAAUUGUCAGAGGUGAAAUUCCUUGGAUUUAUUGAAGACUAACUACUGCGAAAGCAUUUGCCAAGGAUGUUUUCAUUAAUCAAGAACGAAAGUUAGGGGAUCGAAGACGAUCAGAUACCGUCGUAGUCUUAACCAUAAACUAUGCCGACUAGGAAUCGGGCGAUGUUGACAAAAUAGUACGUCCGCUCGGUA